rnacentral:lncRNA from 1 species
UGUUUUGCAGGGACAACCCAGGACGUGCAUUUCUCAGCACCCAGUCAACUGCCAAAAGUGACUCAAACACAGGCCACCAGUGGAACUCGGCUGUACCACUGCAGUGCUGCGGAAAUUGCCUUCACCAGCGGCUUUGCAACAGCUGUUUCGCAGCAUGUCGGAGACAAUGCCUACGAAAUUAUUGGCCCUGAUCAUGAGAGCCCUCAAGGGGCAAACAACAUCUCUGUUGCAGAAGUGAGCCCGGUACCACUUGGAAGUUACCAUGACAGAUGACACGGCAGCAAUAUAUACAGAGACUGCCACGUCUACUGCAGCUGCAACAGUGUACGAGGCAAGCAGCAGCGCGUCAGCAGC